rnacentral:misc_RNA from 1 species
GAUGAAGAACGUAGCGAAAUGCGAUAAGUAAUGUGAAUUGCAGAAUUCCGUGAAUCAUCGGAUCUUUGAACGCACAUUGCGCCCUCUGGUAUUCCGGGGGGCAUGCCUGUCCGAGCGUCAUUUGCAACCCUCAAGCCCGGCUUGUGUGAUGGGUGCCGUCCCCUACGGGACGCGCCCCGAAGGCAAUGGCGGCGUCGCGGUUAUCCGAUCAGCCAAAGUGUAUGGGGCUUUGUCACUCACUUUACGGCCCGGACCGGCGCCAGUCCGAAUCAAUCUUUUUUCUAAAGUUGACCUCGGAUCGGGUAGGGAUACCCGCUGAACUUAAGCAUAUCAAUAAGCGGAGGA